rnacentral:lncRNA from 1 species
GUGCAGAGCUGUCUCACUGGCCUUGCUUACACAAUUUAAAAGGUACUGCAAUGUUCCCAGGUUAUUGUUGCUGUAGAUAAUCCUAUGAACCCCUAGGACCACUGGCCUUUGGGAGUAGGGCUCUGUUUCCUUCCAUUUGAAGGAGUUAGUGAUAAUACUAUAAAGUGUGAGUCACUGGGUAACAACUAGCUGUACAUUCUGGAACAUUUUACCUGGGUUGGAUAAGAAACUUAUAUUCACUUACAUGGAGCCUGAGUAUGCAUUGCAUACCCAAUGAGAAUUUAGUAUCUCUUGCACGCUCUCCUAGUUCUGACUGGCAGAACUUUUUGAAGCAAGGAGCAGGGAAGGUUCUUGACUGAUAUAUAGCAAUAAAACAAGAGGUUAGCCUGGUCCUUGUUGAAAUGGGAAAUGCUACCUACGGGCUCUUUGAUGCCACUUUUCCUCUGUCUUGUCUGUCUCUGGCAUGUACCUUUUAGGAACCUUGAAGGUAAGUCCAAGACUUGCACUGCUGGCCUGAAAAGGCAGGAGUAUCUCUGCCUGAUCUCUAGCUACCCUUCAAAUAGGACAGAGCAAGAAAUGGUAAGAGCAGUAGUGGAGCCAAACCCAUAUUUGAGGAGAGGUGUCUCUUAAUAAUUAUUGCCAUGUUGGCCAUUGGUCUUGCAUGAACUGACUGGGGAGUGUCAAGAAUGAGCCCUGUUGUUUGAAGCUUGUUGUAUCCACAAGUUUGCUAGACAAGGCUGGUCCCAACCAAGCAUUGCAGUGUGACUUAGCAAGAAUAGAACUGAGGUAAGGCUGUGUCGUGUGUCUUAAGUCUCUACCUUUUUCAUUUUUACUCUUAAUCAUGUGUAUCUGAGUAUGGUUUUGUGCACAUGUUCAAACAAGGCCAUUAGAUCCCAUGGAGCUAGAAUUACAGACAGCUGGGAGCCACCUAGUAUGGGUACUGGAAACUGAACUUGGCUCCUUUGGAAGAACAGUGCACACUCCUUGAUUUUUCUAGCACCAUUCUCAUAUUUUGAGAUAUGUUCUUUUAACUAGCCAAAAGCCCACUAAUAAACAGCAAACUCUGGGAUCCACCUGCCUAGCCAUUUUGCCUCUCUUGCGCCCCCCCCCCCCCCAUGCUAGGGUUAGACACAUAUGCCAAUCUCAGCUUUUAUGUGAAUGUGAGAAAUCUGAGAUCAUGUCCUCAUACUUGUGUGACAGGCACUUUACUGAGGAAUUUGCUGAGCCCCCAAAUUUAGUUCUAAUUUACAUUUCUCUGAUGGCUAAGGAUAAUGAACAUUUUCAUAUUUACAAACCAUUUCCACUUCUUAAUAACUGUUUGCUCAUCUGCACAAAUUGGGUUAUUUGGUGUGGGUUUCCCCUAGGUUAUUAUUUUUUAUUCUUUAUCAUGAAUAUUAACAGUUUGUCAGAUGAAUAGUGAGUAUUUCAUUCUGUAGACUGUCUUUCCAUUCUAUUAGCUUUACUGUGCUGAGCUUUCAAUUUUGUGUAAUCCCAUUUCUCAGUUCUUGCUCAGCUUUCCUGGGCUGCUGGAAUCCUGGUCAGUAUUUGUUCUAUUCCUGUAUUGUUCCUGUUUUCCUGUAGAGUUUCAAGGCUUCAAGUCAUAAAUCAACAUCUUACCUUCUUUGAUCCAUUUUAAAACUGUUUUUUUGUACAAGGUGAAAGUAAAAGUAAUUUGAGGGAUUUCUUAUGUCCCUGUUGCUCCCAAAUAACUUCAGGGCAUUGCUGUGCCACCUCUAGCCCAUUUUAGCUCCCAAAUAAAUGAAACAGAGACAUGGUAUUUUUAUUAACAAGCUGCAUACACUAUGCUGAGCAGGUUCUGAGCUGUUCUAACUCUAAGGCUGCCUGUUUCCCAACCAUGUGGUCCUUUACCUUCAGCCUGAGUCUUGUCUUUGCUCUUUCUUUCCUCAUGACUUUGUGAACCUUCCUGGUUCAUCCACAUCUGUAACUUUAAUGUUUUUCAACACCCAUUUUUAAUGAUGGUUCUUGAACGCUUUAACAUCCCUUUUGGCCCACCUCCCACUAGAGGUAGUGGG